rnacentral:tRNA from 1 species
GGGGGCGUAGUUCAGCUGGUUAGAGCGCGCCUGCCUGUCACGCAGGCGGCCGCGGAUUCGAGUCCCGUCGCUCCCG